rnacentral:rRNA from 1 species
GGGUGAGUAACACGUGGGUAACCUACCUAUAAGACUGGGAUAACUUCGGGAAACCGGAGCUAAUACCGGAUAAUAUUUCGAACCGCAUGGUUCGAUAGUGAAAGAUGGUUUUGCUAUCACUUAUAGAUGGACCCGCGCCGUAUUAGCUAGUUGGUAAGGUAACGGCUUACCAAGGCGACGAUACGUAGCCGACCUGAGAGGGUGAUCGGCCACACUGGAACUGAGACACGGUCCAGACUCCUACGGGAGGCAGCAGUAGGGAAUCUUCCGCAAUGGGCGAAAGCCUGACGGAGCAACGCCGCGUGAGUGAUGAAGGUCUUCGGAUCGUAAAACUCUGUUAUUAGGGAAGAACAUACGUGUAAGUAACUAUGCACGUCUUGACGGUACCUAAUCAGAAAGCCACGGCUAACUACGUGCCAGCAGCCGCGGUAAUACGUAGGUGGCAAGCGUUAUCCGGAAUUAUUGGGCGUAAAGCGCGCGUAGGCGGUUUUUUAAGUCUGAUGUGAAAGCCCACGGCUCAACCGUGGAGGGUCAUUGGAAACUGGAAAACUUGAGUGCAGAAGAGGAAAGUGGAAUUCCAUGUGUAGCGGUGAAAUGCGCAGAGAUAUGGAGGAACACCAGUGGCGAAGGCGACUUUCUGGUCUGUAACUGACGCUGAUGUGCGAAAGCGUGGGGAUCAAACAGGAUUAGAUACCCUGGUAGUCCACGCCGUAAACGAUGAGUGCUAAGUGUUAGGGGGUUUCCGCCCCUUAGUGCUGCAGCUAACGCAUUAAGCACUCCGCCUGGGGAGUACGACCGCAAGGUUGAAACUCAAAGGAAUUGACGGGGACCCGCACAAGCGGUGGAGCAUGUGGUUUAAUUCGAAG